rnacentral:misc_RNA from 1 species
GAUGAAGAACGUAGCGAAAUGCGAUAAGUAAUGUGAAUUGCAGAAUUCAGUGAAUCAUCGAAUCUUUGAACGCACCUUGCGCCCUUUGGCCAUUCCGAAGGGCAUGCCUGUUUGAGUAUCAUGAACACCUCAACUCUUCAUGGUUUUCCGUGAUGAGCUUGGACUUUGGGGGUCUUGCUGGCCUAUGGUCAGCUCCUCUAAAAUAAAUCAGCUUGCCAGUGUUUGGUGGGUAUCACAGGUGUGAUAGCUAUCUACGCUUGUGGUUUUCCACCAGGUAACCUUCAGCAGUGGAGGUUCGCUGGAGCUCACAGAUGUGUCUCUCCUCAGUGAGGACAGCUCUUUGAAUGUUUGAUCUCAAAUCAGGUAGGACUACCCGCUGAACUUAAGCAUAUCAAUAAGCGGAGGA